rnacentral:rRNA from 1 species
AACGAACGCUAUCGGUAUGCUUAACACAUGCAAGUCGGACGGACUAAUUAGGGCUUGCUCCAAUUAGUUAGUGGCAGACGGGUGAGUAACACGUGGGAAUCUGCCCAUCAGUACGGAAUAACUUUUAGAAAUAAAAGCUAAUACCGUAUAUUCUCUACAGAGGAAAGAUUUAUCGCUGAUGGAUGAGCCCGCGUCAGAUUAGGUAGUUGGUGAGGUAACGGCUCACCAAGCCGACGAUCUGUAGCUGGUCUGAGAGGAUGAUCAGCCACACUGGGACUGAGACACGGCCCAGACUCCUACGGGAGGCAGCAGUGGGGAAUAUUGGACAAUGGGCGAAAGCCUGAUCCAGCAAUACCGAGUGAGUGAUAAAGGCCCUAGGGUUGUAAAGCUCUUUUAGCAAGGAAGAUAAUGACGUUACUGGCAGAAAAAGCCCCGGCUAACUCCGU